GGAGACGUGGGUGAGUGGCUGAAACCAGCGGUUUGCUAAACCGCCGUAUGGAGAAUUCCGUACCGAGGGUUCGAAUCCCUCCGUCUCCGCCA
rnacentral:tRNA from 2 species